GGUAGUAAGAGAGUGCUUGCUUCUCUUGAGAGCGGCGGACGGGUGAGUAAUGCCUAGGAAUCUGCCUGGUAGUGGGGGAUAACGUUCGGAAACGGACGCUAAUACCGCAUACGUCCUACGGGAGAAAGCAGGGGACCUUCGGGCCUUGCGCUAUCAGAUGAGCCUAGGUCGGAUUAGCUAGUUGGUGGGGUAAUGGCUCACCAAGGCGACGAUCCGUAACUGGUCUGAGAGGAUGAUCAGUCACACUGGAACUGAGACACGGUCCAGACUCCUACGGGAGGCAGCAGUGGGGAAUAUUGGACAAUGGGCGAAAGCCUGAUCCAGCCAUGCCGCGUGUGUGAAGAAGGUCUUCGGAUUGUAAAGCACUUUAAGUUGGGAGGAAGGGUUGUAGAUUAAUACUCUGCAAUUUUGACGUUACCGACAGAAUAAGCACCGGCUAACUCUGUGCCAGCAGCCGCGGUAAUACAGAGGGUGCAAGCGUUAAUCGGAAUUACUGGGCGUAAAGCGCGCGUAGGUGGUUUGUUAAGUUGGAUGUGAAAUCCCCGGGCUCAACCUGGGAACUGCAUUCAAAACUGACUGACUAGAGUAUGGUAGAGGGUGGUGGAAUUUCCUGUGUAGCGGUGAAAUGCGUAGAUAUAGGAAGGAACACCAGUGGCGAAGGCGACCACCUGGACUAAUACUGACACUGAGGUGCGAAAGCGUGUGGAGCAAACAGGACGAGAUACCCUCCUAGGCCACGCCGUAUACGAUGUAUAUUAGCCAUUGUAAGCCAUGCAGUGUGUAUUGACGCACCUCACUCAUAAAGUAGA
rnacentral:rRNA from 1 species